UAAAUGUUCAUCAUUUUGCGUGCAAUGAUCUGAACCAUUUUGAUUCCCUGCACCGUUAUUUCGUUGUGGCAUAAUCAAAUUAAGCCAUUGAUUUUAUGUUUGUGGAAAACGUUUCUGAUCACUCACGCAAAAUGAUGUCAAUUUU
rnacentral:pre_miRNA from 1 species